rnacentral:rRNA from 1 species
AUUGAACGCUGGCGGCAGGCCUAACACAUGCAAGUCGAGCGGAUGAAGGGAGCUUGCUCCUGGAUUCAGCGGCGGACGGGUGAGUAAUGCCUAGGAAUCUGCCUGGUAGUGGGGGAUAACGUCCGAAAACGGGCGCUAAUACCGCAUACGUCCUGAGAGAGACAGUGGGUGAUCUUCGGACCUCACACUAUCAGAGGAGCCUAGGUCGGAUUAGCUAGUUGGUGGGGUAAAGGCCUACCAAGGCGACGAUCCGUAACUGGUCUGAGAGGAUGAUCAGUCACACUGGAACUGAGACACGGUCCAGACUCCUACGGGAGGCAGCAGUGGGGACUAUUGGACAAUGGGCGAAAGGGUGAUAUAGCCAUGCCGCGUGUGUGAAGAAGGUCUUCGGAUUGUAAAGCACUUUAAGUUGGGAGGAAGGGCAGUAAGUUUAUCCCUUGCUGUUUUGACGUUACCAACAGAAUAAGCACCGGCUAACUUCGUG